rnacentral:lncRNA from 12 species
GGCUGUGACGGGUGGAUGAGUCGGUGGGCACAUGGAUGGCUGCGUGGACAGACGGACAACUGGGCGGGUGGAGGAGUGGCGGGUACCCGCGUGGGUGCAUGCAUGGAGGACGGCCGCAGUGGACAGUCACCGCACCUCCCGUCCCAGAAGCCGCUCCGUCGGGACCUCCUUUUGGUGUUGGUGUACGACAGAAACGUGAACCCCUUGUUCGGGGUCAUUUGUGAGAAAUCCGGUCUCGAUCCCUUUUUGACUCUUGAGUUUGGUGUGUGCCACGCUGUUUCUCUUUCCCCGUCUUCACCCUGCGUGGGCCUGAGGCUCACGGCACGCAGGGGCUGCGAGGACCAACGCCCCAGGUCGUGUGGGGUGCGCCCCCUCCCAGGUGGUGCUGAGCGCACCGUGGGGUCCCCGUCCAGGAGGCCCCGGGGAGCCCGGGGUCCGAGCUGCGUGGCCGCCCUGAGUGUGUCCCGUGGAACACGGCGAGGAGAGCGUGGGCGCGCAGGCAGGGCGGUGCUGACGGCUUCCGUGUGGCUCACAGCACUAUCAUCACUUUGGCGACAUCAUCAAGGAGACCAUGACGAGGACGAGACAGAACGACAGGCUGCGCAACGCGCUGUCCCUGCUCCUGUGCCUGCAGCAGCUGUUCCAGAAGCACGUGGACACGUACGGCCUCGGCUCCGACCCCAUCGAGUUCAUCUGCGGCCCCUUCUACUCCAUCCGCCUGCUGGCCCGCCGCUUCGCACUCACGCUUGGCUUCGACUCUGCCCGCGACGCUGCCCACCUGAUCCACAGGUGCAUGCCGGGAGGGGCCCUGACCUGCCCGACCCAUGCCCCGGCCCGUGCCACCUGCCGCUGUGCUCCCAGGUGUCCCAUCCUGCCCCCUUGUGACCCCCGCCUGACCCCGGCCUCAUCAUGACCCUGCCCGACUCUGACCCCUGCCCAGCCCCUUUCCCGGGCAUGACCCCGCCUGACCCUGUCCCCAGUGUGACCCCAACCCGAUUCCUGUCCCCAUCCGAUCCCUGUCCCAGCCCCACCUGACCCCAGUCCCUGGCGUGACCCCACCUGAUCACUGUGUGCAGUGACCCUGCCGAUCCCUGUCCCCGGAGUGACCCCCACCAGCCACCCUGCCCCAAUGAGCGCCACCUGGUGCUGUGCCCCGUCUAAUACCCGCCCUCCCCCCAAGCCUCACCUGACCCCACCCGUCCCGUGGGAGCCCCACCUGACGCCCCACUGCCUCCCGUCUGUGCCUCCGCCCUCCGCCCCACCUCCCCGCGGGACCCGUCCCCAGGCGCGGGCUGGCGUUCGCCUUCUCCGAGUCCCCGGUACCCGAGGAGGAGGCCCGCCAGCGCUUCCCCAACCUCAGCUUCCUGCUCGUGCUGGCCGAGUUCUCGUGCAAGAUCCCGCCCGCGGAGCGCGCGGCCGCGUGAGUGUGCAGGCCCCGGGCUGAGGCCCCGGGAGGGGCGCGGGAAUGGGAGGUUCUCGGGUGGGCAUGACCCGGGCUGAGGGUCGCCGCUCCCUCUGGCGGGCUGAGCCUGCGCUGCUGGGGUCCGUGCUGCAGGAUCGCCCUGUGGCUGCGGGGGGCGCCUCUCCCGCGGGGUUCCGGGGCCCUUAGCCCAGCAGGGGACGGACCACGGGGUGCCUGGGGGCGUCUCCCCUGACGUCCCCGCCACGCCCCCUGUUGCCCGCAGACUCGCCCACUUCCAGGACUCCAUCCCUGAGGGCGUGCCCGUGUUUGGGGAGGGGGACAUGAACCCCAUGCUCGCCUACCGCAAGUCCCUGAUGCGCACGGACUACAUGGCGCAGGGGGAGGAGGAGCCCGCCGCCAACCCGUUCGACGCCAUAUGCAAGGACAGCAAGCGGCCCCAAGGUGGGGAGAGUGGCCCGGGUG